CUAAAAACAACAUAAUUUAUAUAUUUCACUUGUUCCUUGCGAGUUUUAAUACUCUGUGCGAACCGAAACUGCGACGCUGCAACAGGGACGAAUUCUCUCACUCACAGACAAAGGAUUGGAUUGAUUCAAACGAAUGAAAGGGUUUGGGUCAAUUGAAUUUUGAGGGAAUGGGUCUAAUAGGGUUUCUCUCUUUGAGCUGGACAUCGAAUAUUGGAAAAAGACUAUGGAUAUUCACUACUAUUGAUAUCUGAAACUUUAGAAGUGGGUUUAAAAAAAAAAAAAAAAUUUAUG
rnacentral:lncRNA from 1 species